rnacentral:rRNA from 1 species
GUGGGGAAUAUUGGACAAUGAGCGAAAGCCUGAUCCAGCCAUGCCGCGUGUGUGAAGAAGGUCUUCGGAUUGUAAAGCACUUUAAGUUGGGAGGAAGGGCAGUAAGUUAAUACCUUGCUGUUUUGACGUUACCGACAGAAUAAGCACCGGCUAACUUCGUGCCAGCAGCCGCGGUAAUACGAAGGGUGCAAGCGUUAAUCGGAAUUACUGGGCGUAAAGCGCGCGUAGGUGGUUUUGUAAGUUGGAGGUGAAAUCCCCGGGCUCAACCUGGGAACUGACUCCAAAACUGCAUGACUAGAGUACGGUAGAGGGUAGUGGAAUUUCCUGUGUAGCGGUGAAAUGCGUAGAUAUAGGAAGGAACACCAGUGGCGAAGGCGACUACCUGGACUGAUACUGACACUGAGGUGCGAAAGCGUGGGGAGCAAACAGGAUUAGAAACCCCAGUAGUCC